CCUGCCAUUUUCAAAUCAAUGCUGCCCGCCCAAGCCCUGAAGCCGUGAAGAUCUGCUGGAAUGGAAACGGGAUUGAGCCGAGAGGGAGCGAGAAGCACCUAGGAUGAAAGACCACUGAUGAUUCGGAUUUAUGUAUUAUUUUACAGACACCUUCUAAAAACUCUGUUCUUGCUCUGAAUUU